rnacentral:rRNA from 1 species
UACGUAGGCAGCGAGCGUUGUUCGGAGUUACUGGGCGUAAAGGGUGUGUAGGCGGUUCUUUAAGUUUGGUGUGAAAUCUCCCGGCUCAACCGGGAGGGUGCGCCGAAUACUGAGGGACUAGAGUAUGGGAUGGGAAAGUGGAAUUCCUGGUGUAGCGGUGAAAUGCGUAGAUAUCAGGAGGAACACCUGUGGUGUAGACGGCUUUCUGGACCAUAACUGACGCUGAGACACGAAAGCGUGGGUAGCAAACAGG